AGCAGCCGCGGUAAUUCCAGCUCCAAUAGCGUAUAUUAAAGUUGUUGCAGUUAAAAGCUCGUAGUUGAAUUUCGGGGUUAGUAGGUUGGUCAUGCCUCUGGUAUGUACUGGUCUCACUGAUUCCUCCUUCCUGAUGAACCUUAAUGCCAUUUAUUUGGUGUUUUGGGGAAUUUGGACUGUUACUUUGAAAAAUUAGAGUGUUUAAAGCAAGCUAACGCUUGAAUACAUUAGCAUGGAAUAAUGAAAUAGGACGUUCGGUCCUAUUUUGUUGGUUUCUAGGAUUGACGUAAUGAUUAAUAGGGAUAGUUGGGGGCAUUAGUAUUCAAUUGUCAGAGGUGAAAUUCUUGGAUUUAUUGAAGACUAACUACUGCGAAAGCAUUUGCCAAGGAUGUUUUCAUUAAUCAAGAACGAAAGUUAGGGGAUCGAAGACGAUCAGAUACCGUCGUAGUC
rnacentral:rRNA from 1 species